AGGGUUCGAUUCUGGCUCAGGAUGAACGCUGGCGGCGUGCCUAACACAUGCAAGUCGAGCGGAGAUAAGUUGAAGCCUAGCGAUUCUUAUCUUAGCGGCGGAUGGGUGAGUAACACGUGGGUAACCUGCCCUGCACUGGGGAAUAACAGCUGGAAACGGCUGUUAAUGCCGCAUAUGCGCACGGAGCCGCAUGGCUUUGGGCGGAAAGAUUUAUCGGUGCAGGAUGGGCCCGCGCCGGAUUAACUAGUUGGCGGGGUAACGGCCCACCAAGGUGAUGAUCCGUAGCCGACCUGAGAGGGUGACCGGCCACAUUGGGACUGAGACACGGCCCAAACUCCUACGGGAGGCAGCAGUGGGGGAUAUUGCACAAUGGGGGAAACCCUGAUGCAGCGACGCCGCGUGAAGGAUGAAGUAUUUCGGUAUGUAAACUUCUAUCAACGGGGAAGAAGAUGACGGUACCCGACUAAGAAGCCCCGGCUAACUACGUGCCAGCAGCAGC
rnacentral:rRNA from 1 species